rnacentral:rRNA from 1 species
UACGUAGGGGGCAAGCGUUGUCCGGAAUUAUUGGGCGUAAAGGGCGCGUAGGCGGCAGAAUAAGUCUGAUGUGAAAGUGCGGGGCUCAACCCCGUAAAGCAUUGGAAACUGUUCAGCUUGAGUGCAGGAGAGGAAAGUGGAAUUCCACGUGUAGCGGUGAAAUGCGUAGAUAUGUGGAGGAACACCAGUGGCGAAGGCGACUUUCUGGACUGUAACUGACGCUGAGGCACGAAAGCGUGGGGAGC